CGCUCAUGAACCACGAGAUGAUCGGCGUGCACGCGCAACACAACGCGGACCAGGCGGCGCUGAGUUACCUUGAGGACGUCUGGCUCGUCCGCGACCCGGUCGAGUCGCGGUGCUUCACCCUCGAGUUCCACUUCAAGGAGAACCCGUACUUUUCGAACACGGUCCUGAAGAAGGAAUACAAAUACAUUCUGCCGCCUGUGGAAUCAGAG
rnacentral:misc_RNA from 1 species